AGAGUUUGAUCAUGGCUCAGGAUUAACGCUAGCGGCAGGCAUAAUACAUGCAAGUUGAGCGAGAUAAGUUGUAGCAAUACGGCUUUGAAAGCGGCGCACGGGUGCGUAACACGUAUGCAACCUACCUUUUACUAAGGAAUAGCCUCUCGAAAGAGAGAUUAAUACCUUAUAAUAUGUUUUGAAGGCAUCUUCAGAACCUUAAAGCUCCGGCGGUAAAAGAUGGGCAUGCGGUUGAUUAGCUAGUUGGUGAGGUAAUGGCUCACCAAGGCUUCGAUCAAUAGGGGGUCUGAGAGGAUGUCCCCCCACACUGGUACUGAGACACGGACCAGACUCCUACGGGAGGCAGCAGUAGGGAAUAUUGGACAAUGGGCGCAAGCCUGAUCCAGCCAUGCCGCGUGCAGGAUGAAGGCCCUAUGGGUCGUAAACUGCUUUUGUACGGGAAGAAACCUCACUACGUGUAGUGAGUUGACGGUACCGUGAGAAUAAGGAUCGGCUAACUUCGUGCCAGCAGCCGCGGUAAUACGAAGGAUCCAAGCGUUGUCCGGAUUUACUGGGUUUAAAGGGUGCGUAGGCGGACUUUUAAGUCAGUGGUGAAAGCUCGCAGCUUAACUGUGAAAUUGCCAUUGAAACUGAAAGUCUCGAGUGUGGUUGAGGUAACUGGAAUAUAUCAUGUAGCGGUGAAAUGCUUAGAUAUGAUAUAGAACACCAAUUGCGAAGGCAGGUUACUGAGCCACAACUGACGCUGAGGCACGAAAGCGUGGGGAUCAAACAGGAUUAGAUACCCUAGUAGUCC
rnacentral:rRNA from 1 species